AUUGAACGCUGGCGGCAGGCCUAACACAUGCAAGUCUAACGCGAGGCGGACGGGUGUGUAUUGUAGGUGGACUGCGCGUUAGAGGGGGAUAUCUAGUGGAAACGGUAUCUAAUACCGCAUACUAUCGGAUAACCCAUAUGGGAUUGGAUAGUAGUUGAGGUAAUGGCGCACCUAGGCGACGAUACCUAGCUGGUCUGAGAGGAUGAUCAGCCACACUGGGACUGAGACACGGCCCAGACUCCUACGGAGGCAGCAGUGGGGAAUAUUGCGCAAUGGGCGCAAGCCUGAUGCAGCCAUGCCGCGUGUAUGAAGAAGGCCCUAGGGUUGUAAAGUACUUUCAGUCGGGAGGCGUUACCGACAGAAGAAGCACCGGCUAACUCCGUGCCAGCAGCCGCGGUAAUUC
rnacentral:rRNA from 1 species